rnacentral:ncRNA from 1 species
AGAACUGUUAUUACAAUAGGUAGAAUGAUAGGGUAACUCCUUGAAAUGCCUUCCCAAAGGAUACGGAUAGCGUUUAAUUAAGUAAAUAAUUAAAGGUUAUAAGCCCGUUAAAUGGCCUGAGAGUAUACCGUAAGUAGAUGAAAUAUAAUACCUACACGAAAUGCGAACUAGAGGUAGUCGAGUAUAUGAUAGGGCUAGGGUCUAUAAA